GACAGAGGGGGCAAGCGUUGCUCGGAAUCACUGGGCGUAAAGGGCGCGUAGGCGGGAUGGCAAGUCGGUCGUGAAAUCCUUCGGCUCAACCGAAGAACGUCGGCCGAUACUGCCGUUCUUGAGGGAUGCAGAGGAGAUUGGAAUUCCCGGUGUAGCGGUGAAAUGUGUAGAGAUCGGGAGGAACACCGGUGGCGAAGGCGGUUCUCUGGGCAUUACCUGACGCUGAGGAGCGAAAGUGUGGGGAGCGAACAGG
rnacentral:rRNA from 1 species